CUACGGGUGGCUGCAGUGAGGAAUAUCGCACAAUGGGGGGAACCCUGAUGCAGCAACGCCGCGUGGAGGAUGACGCAUUUCGGUGUGUAAACUCCUUUUAUAUGUCAAGAAAAUGACGGUAGCAUAUGAAUAAGCACCGGCUAACUCCGUGCCAGCAGCCGCGGUAAUACGGAGGGUGCAAGCGUUACUCGGAAUCACUGGGCGUAAAGGACGCGUAGGCGGGUUGGAAAGUCAGGUGUGAAAUCCUACAGCUUAACUGUAGAACUGCACUUGAAACUUCUAAUCUAGAGUAUGGGAGGGGGAGAUGGAAUUAGUGGUGCAGGGGUAAAAUCCGUAGAUAUAACUAGGAAUACCUAAAGCGAAGGCGAUCUCCUGGAACAUUACUGACGCUAAGGCGUGAAAGCGUGGGGAGCAAACAGGAAUAGAUACCCCUGUAGUC
rnacentral:rRNA from 1 species